AUUCAACAAAAACGUUUCUGGAGGUAUGGGGAAUUGAACCCCAGCCCUCUCCCAUGCUAAGGGAGCGCUCUACCACUGAGCUAUACCCCCGAACG